rnacentral:lncRNA from 1 species
GGUAUCAUCAGUAACGGUCGCUCUGAUGUACAUCAUCAGUGGCGGGCGGCCUACUUGGUGACCGACAGUGAUGAGUUUUGAGCGAAAUUAAAAAAAAAGCUCAUGACCAGCAUAUUAUUAUGCUAGCAAUGCUUUCCUUUUUCUAAUUGCGUACAAAUUCUGCAGUAGAGAUAGUAGCAGCAGCACGGGAAAUUCAAGAUCAAAACGUCGAAUGCAUUCACAGCAAAAGAUAAUUAGCAAUCAAGUUGCGUGCAUUCACAGCAGAAUAGAAUUAGAAAUCAAAAAUAAAAAUUACAUGGUCGCAUCCAUUCACAACAGAGAUUACAAAAAAAAUCACGAAAGAAAAGCCGAUGUCCAUGAUCUGCUAUACACGGCGACGGGAGGCCGGAUCCGGCGGCGAUGGUCGGUGCCUGUGAGAGAGACAGUGAGAGAGAACAAGACACACAC